rnacentral:snRNA from 1 species
AAUGACACAUGUACACAUCUG